AUACGUAGGGGGCGAGCGUUGUCCGGAAUGAUUGGGCGUAAAGGGCGCGUAGGCGGCCUGGUAAGUCUGAAGUGAAAGUCCCGCUUUCAAGGUGGGAAUUGCUUUGGAUACUGCUGGGCUUGAGUGCAGGAGAGGAAAGCGGAAUUCCCGGUGUAGCGGUGAAAUGCGUAGAGAUCGGGAAGAAUACCAGUGGCGAAGGCGGUUUGCUGGCUGCAUACUGACGCUGAAGCGCGAAAGCCAGGGGAGCGAACGGGAUUAGAUACCCCGGUAGUCCUGGCAGUAAACGAUGUAUGCUGGGUGUGAGACUAGCGAUAGUUUCGUGCCGAAGUUAACGCGAUAAGCAUACCGCCUGGGGAGUACGGUCGCAAGAUUGAAACUUAAAGGAAUUGACGGGG
rnacentral:rRNA from 1 species